UUAAGCGACUAAGCGUACACGGUGGAUGCCCUGGCAGUCAGAGGCGAUGAAGGACGUGCUAAUCUGCGAUAAGCGUCGGUAAGGUGAUAUGAACCGUUAUAACCGGCGAUUUCCGAAUGGGGAAACCCAGUGUGAUUCGUCACACUAUCAUUAACUGAAUCCAUAGGUUAAUGAGGCGAACCGGGGGAACUGAAACAUCUAAGUACCCCGAGGAAAAGAAAUCAACCGAGAUUCCCCCAGUAGCGGCGAGCGAACGGGGAGCAGCCCAGAGCCUGAAUCAGUGUGUGUGUUAGUGGAAGCGUCUGGAAAGGCGUGCGAUACAGGGUGACAGCCCCGUACACAAAAAUGCACAUAUUGUGAGCUCGAUGAGUAGGGCGGGACACGUGGUAUCCUGUCUGAAUAUGGGGGGACCAUCCUCCAAGGCUAAAUACUCCUGACUGACCGAUAGUGAACCAGUACCGUGAGGGAAAGGCGAAAAGAACCCCGGCGAGGGGAGUGAAAAAGAACCUGAAACCGUGUACGUACAAGCAGUGGGAGCACGCUUAGGCGUGUGACUGCGUACCUUUUGUAUAAUGGGUCAGCGACUUAUAUUCUGUAGCAAGGUUAACCGAAUAGGGGAGCCGAAGGGAAACCGAGUCUUAACUGGGCGUUAAGUUGCAGGGUAUAGACCCGAAACCCGGUGAUCUAGCCAUGGGCAGGUUGAAGGUUGGGUAACACUAACUGGAGGACCGAACCGACUAAUGUUGAAAAAUUAGCGGAUGACUUGUGGCUGGGGGUGAAAGGCCAAUCAAACCGGGAGAUAGCUGGUUCUCCCCGAAAGCUAUUUAGGUAGCGCCUCGUGAAUUCAUCUCCGGGGGUAGAGCACUGUUUCGGCAAGGGGGUCAUCCCGACUUACCAACCCGAUGCAAACUGCGAAUACCGGAGAAUGUUAUCACGGGAGACACACGGCGGGUGCUAACGUCCGUCGUGAAGAGGGAAACAACCCAGACCGCCAGCUAAGGUCCCAAAGUCAUGGUUAAGUGGGAAACGAUGUGGGAAGGCCCAGACAGCCAGGAUGUUGGCUUAGAAGCAGCCAUCAUUUAAAGAAAGCGUAAUAGCUCACUGGUCGAGUCGGCCUGCGCGGAAGAUGUAACGGGGCUAAACCAUGCACCGAAGCUGCGGCAGCGACACUAUGUGUUGUUGGGUAGGGGAGCGUUCUGUAAGCCUGUGAAGGUGUACUGUGAGGUAUGCUGGAGGUAUCAGAAGUGCGAAUGCUGACAUAAGUAACGAUAAAGCGGGUGAAAAGCCCGCUCGCCGGAAGACCAAGGGUUCCUGUCCAACGUUAAUCGGGGCAGGGUGAGUCGACUCCUAAGGCGAGGCCGAAAGGCGUAGUCGAUGGGAAACAGGUUAAUAUUCCUGUACUUGGUGUUACUGCGAAGGGGGGACGGAGAAGGCUAUGUUGGCCGGGCGACGGUUGUCCCGGUUUAAGCGUGUAGGCUGGUUUUCCAGGCAAAUCCGGAAAACUAAGGCUGAGGCGUGAUGACGAGGCACUACGGUGCUGAAGCAACAAAUGCCCUGCUUCCAGGAAAAGCCUCUAAGCAUCAGGUAACAUCAAAUCGUACCCCAAACCGACACAGGUGGUCAGGUAGAGAAUACCAAGGCGCUUGAGAGAACUCGGGUGAAGGAACUAGGCAAAAUGGUGCCGUAACUUCGGGAGAAGGCACGCUGAUAUGUAGGUGAAGUCCCUCGCGGAUGGAGCUGAAAUCAGUCGAAGAUACCAGCUGGCUGCAACUGUUUAUUAAAAACACAGCACUGUGCAAACACGAAAGUGGACGUAUACGGUGUGACGCCUGCCCGGUGCCGGAAGGUUAAUUGAUGGGGUCAGCGCAAGCGAAGCUCUUGAUCGAAGCCCCGGUAAACGGCGGCCGUAACUAUAACGGUCCUAAGGUAGCGAAAUUCCUUGUCGGGUAAGUUCCGACCUGCACGAAUGGCGUAAUGAUGGCCAGGCUGUCUCCACCCGAGACUCAGUGAAAUUGAACUCGCUGUGAAGAUGCAGUGUACCCGCGGCAAGACGGAAAGACCCCGUGAACCUUUACUAUAGCUUGACACUGAACAUUGAGCCUUGAUGUGUAGGAUAGGUGGGAGGCUUUGAAGUGUGGACGCCAGUCUGCAUGGAGCCGACCUUGAAAUACCACCCUUUAAUGUUUGAUGUUCUAACGUUGACCCGUAAUCCGGGUUGCGGACAGUGUCUGGUGGGUAGUUUGACUGGGGCGGUCUCCUCCUAAAGAGUAACGGAGGAGCACGAAGGUUGGCUAAUCCUGGUCGGACAUCAGGAGGUUAGUGCAAUGGCAUAAGCCAGCUUGACUGCGAGCGUGACGGCGCGAGCAGGUGCGAAAGCAGGUCAUAGUGAUCCGGUGGUUCUGAAUGGAAGGGCCAUCGCUCAACGGAUAAAAGGUACUCCGGGGAUAACAGGCUGAUACCGCCCAAGAGUUCAUAUCGACGGCGGUGUUUGGCACCUCGAUGUCGGCUCAUCACAUCCUGGGGCUGAAGUAGGUCCCAAGGGUAUGGCUGUUCGCCAUUUAAAGUGGUACGCGAGCUGGGUUUAGAACGUCGUGAGACAGUUCGGUCCCUAUCUGCCGUGGGCGCUGGAGAACUGAGGGGGGCUGCUCCUAGUACGAGAGGACCGGAGUGGACGCAUCACUGGUGUUCGGGUUGUCAUGCCAAUGGCACUGCCCGGUAGUUAAAUGCGGAAGAGAUAAGUGCUGAAAGCAUCUAAGCACGAAACUUGCCCCGAGAUGAGUUCUCCCUGACUCCUUGAGAGUCCUGAAGGAACGUUGAAGACGACGACGUUGAUAGGCCGGGUGUGUAAGCGCAGCGAUGCGUUGAGCUAACCGAUACUAAUGAACCGUGAGGCUUAACCUU
rnacentral:rRNA from 1 species